UGGGGAAUUUUGCACAAUGGGGGAAACCCUGAUGCAGCGACGCCGCGUGAUUUAGAAGGCCCUCGGGUUGUAAAAAUCUUUUGUAUGGGAAGAAAAUGACAGUACCAUACGAAUAAGGAUCGGCUAAUUACGUGCCAGCAGCCGCGGUAAUACGUAAGGUCCGAGCGUUGUCCGGAAUCAUUGGGCGUAAAGGGUACGUAGGCGGAUAAGCAAGUUAGAAGUGAAAUCCUAUAGCUCAACUAUAGUAAGCUUUUAAGACUGCUCAUCUUGAGGUAUGGAAGGGAAAGUGGAAUUCCUAGUGUAGCGGUGAAAUGCGCAGAUAUUAGGAGGAAUACCGGUGGCGAAGGCGACUUUCUGGCCAUAUACUGACGCUGAGGUACGAAAGCGUGGGUAGCAAACAGG
rnacentral:rRNA from 1 species